UACAGAGGUCCCAAGCGUUGUUCGGAUUCACUGGGCGUAAAGGGUGCGUAGGUGGCCAGGUAAGUUCGGUGUGAAAGCUCGGAGCUUAACUCCGAAAUGGCAUUGAAUACUAUCUGGCUAGAGGGUCGGAGGGGAGACUGGAAUUCUCGGUGUAGCAGUGAAAUGCGUAGAUAUCGAGAGGAACACCUGCGGCGAAGGCGGGUUGCUGGGCUGACACUGACGCUGAGGUGCGAGAGCGUGGGGAGCGAACCGG
rnacentral:rRNA from 1 species